CCCUACGGGGUGCAGCAGGCGCGAAACCUUUACAAUGCACGAAAGUGUGAUAAGGGAAUACUCAGUGCUUACGCUUAUGGUGUAGGCUUUUGUUGAGUGUAAAGAGCUCGACGAAUAAGUGGUGGGUAAGACUGGUGCCAGCCGCCGCGGUAACACCAGCGCCACGAGUGGUCAUCGCGAUUAUUGGGCCUAAAGCGUUCGCAGCCUGUUUGGUAACUCUCUUGUGAAAUUGUUCUGCUCAACGGAACAGCGUGCAGGAGACACUACCAGACUCGAGACCGGGAGGGGUCAGAGGUAUUCCGUGGGGACUGGUAAAAUGGGAUAAUCCACGGAGGACCGCCGAUGGCGAAGGCAUCUGACCAGAACGGAUCUGACGGUGAGGAACGAAAGCCAGGGGAGCGAACCGGAUUAGAUACCCGAGUAGUCCUGGCCGUAAACGCUGUGAGCUAGGUGUUGCAUAUCCUACGAGGAUGUGCAGUGUCGAAACGAAGGUAAUAAGCUCACCGCCUGGGAAGUACGGUCGCAAGACUGAAACUUUAAGGAAUUGGCGGGGGAGCAC
rnacentral:rRNA from 1 species